AUCCAGCUUACGAGUCCCAAAUAGGACAAAACGUUCGUCAAACUGGAU
rnacentral:hammerhead_ribozyme from 1 species